GCAGUAGCCGCGGGAAUACGGAGGGUGCAAGCGUUAAUCGGAAUUACUGGGCGUAAAGCGCACGCAGGCGGUCUGACAAGUCAGAUGUGAAAUCCCCGGGCUUAACCUGGGAACUGCAUUUGAAACUGUCAGGCUGGAGUCUUGUAGAGGGGGGUGGAAUUCCAGGUGUAGCGGUGAAAUGCGUAGAGAUCUGGAGGAAUACCGGUGGCGAAGGCGGCCCCCUGGACAAAGACUGACGCUCAGGUGCGAAAGCGUGGGGAGCAAACAGGAUUAGAUACCCAGUAGUCCCUGUCUCUUAUACC
rnacentral:rRNA from 1 species